rnacentral:rRNA from 1 species
CUCAGGACGAACGCUGGCGGCGUGCCUAAUACAUGCAAGUCGAACGAACUCUGGUAUUGAUUGGUGCUUGCAUCAUGAUUUACAUUUGAGUGAGUGGCGAACUGGUGAGUAACACGUGGGAAACCUGCCCAGAAGCGGGGGAUAACACCUGGAAACAGAUGCUAAUACCGCAUAACAACUUGGACCGCAUGGUCCGAGUUUGAAAGAUGGCUUCGGCUAUCACUUUUGGAUGGUCCCGCGGCGUAUUAGCUAGAUGGUGAGGUAACGGCUCACCAUGGCAAUGAUACGUAGCCGACCUGAGAGGGUAAUCGGCCACAUUGGGACUGAGACACGGCCCAAACUCCUACGGGAGGCAGCAGUAGGGAAUCUUCCACAAUGGACGAAAGUCUGAUGGAGCAACGCCGCGUGAGUGAAGAAGGGUUUCGGCUCGUAAAACUCUGUUGUUAAAGAAGAACAUAUCUGAGAGUAACUGUUCAGGUAUUGACGGUAUUUAACCAGAAAGCCACGGCUAACUACGUGCCAGCAGCCGCGGUAAUACGUAGGUGGCAAGCGUUGUCCGGAUUUAUUGGGCGUAAAGCGAGCGCAGGCGGUUUUUUAAGUCUGAUGUGAAAGCCUUCGGCUCAACCGAAGAAGUGCAUCGGAAACUGGGAAACUUGAGUGCAGAAGAGGACAGUGGAACUCCAUGUGUAGCGGUGAAAUGCGUAGAUAUAUGGAAGAACACCAGUGGCGAAGGCGGCUGUCUGGUCUGUAACUGACGCUGAGGCUCGAAAGUAUGGGUAGCAAACAGGAUUAGAUACCCUGGUAGUCCAUACCGUAAACGAUGAAUGCUAAGUGUUGGAGGGUUUCCGCCCUUCAGUGCUGCAGCUAACGCAUUAAGCAUUCCGCCUGGGGAGUACGGCCGCAAAGGCUGAAACUCAAAGGAAUUGACGGGGGCCCGCACAAGCGGUGGAGCAUGUGGUUUAAUUCGAAGCUACGCGAAGAACCUUACCAGGUCUUGACAUACUAUGCAAAUCUAAGAGAUUAGACGUUCCCUUCGGGGACAUGGAUACAGGUGGUGCAUGGUUGUCGUCAGCUCGUGUCGUGAGAUGUUGGGUUAAGUCCCGCAACGAGCGCAACCCUUAUUAUCAGUUGCCAGCAUUAAGUUGGGCACUCUGGUGAGACUGCCGGUGACAAACCGGAGGAAGGUGGGGAUGACGUCAAAUCAUCAUGCCCCUUAUGACCUGGGCUACACACGUGCUACAAUGGAUGGUACAACGAGUUGCGAACUCGCGAGAGUAAGCUAAUCUCUUAAAGCCAUUCUCAGUUCGGAUUGUAGGCUGCAACUCGCCUACAUGAAGUCGGAAUCGCUAGUAAUCGCGGAUCAGCAUGCCGCGGUGAAUACGUUCCCGGGCCUGUACACACCGCCCGUCACACCAUGAGAGUUUGUAACACCCAAAGUCGGUGGGGUAACC